rnacentral:rRNA from 1 species
AUUGAACGCUGGCGGCAUGCUUUACACAUGCAAGUCGAACGGUAACAGGCCGCAAGGUGCUGACGAGUGGCGAACGGGUGAGUAAUGCAUCGGAACGUGCCCAGUCGUGGGGGAUAACUACUCGAAAGAGUAGCUAAUACCGCAUACGACCUAUGGCUGAAAGCGGGGGACCGUAAGGCCUCGCGCGAUUGUGGCGGCCGAUGUCAGAUUAGGUAGUUGGUGGGGUAAAGGCUCACCAAGCCAACGAUCUGUAGCUGGUCUGAGAGGACGAGCAGCCACACUGGGACUGAGACACGGCCCAGACUCCUACGGGAGGCAGCAGUGGGGAAUUUUGGACAAUGGGCGCAAGCCUGAUCCAGCAAUGCCGCGUGCAGGAAGAAGGCCUUCGGGUUGUAAACUGCUUUUGUUCGGAAAGAAACGCAUCUGGUUAAUACCCGGCGCUAAUGACGGUACCGAAAGAAUAAGCACCGGCUAACUACGUG